AUUGGACAAUGGAGGCACUCUGAUCCAGCCAUGCCGCGUGAAGGAAGACGGCCUUAUGGGUUGUAAACUUCUUUUAUACAGGAAGAAACCUUUCCACGUGUGGAAAGUUGACGGUACUGUAAGAAUAAGGAUCGGCUAACUCCGUGCCAGCAGCCGCGGUAAUACGGAGGAUCCAAGCGUUAUCCGGAAUUAUUGGGUUUAAAGGGUCCGCAGGCUGUUUGUUAAGUCAGAGGUGAAAUCCUACCGCUCAACGGUAGAACUGCCUUUGAUACUGGCAAACUUGAGUUAUUGUGAAGUAGUUAGAAUGUGUAGUGUAGCGGUGAAAUGCAUAGAUAUUACACAGAAUACCGAUUGCGAAAGCAGAUUACUAACAAUAUACUGACGCUGAGGGACGAAAGCGUGGGUAGCGAACAGGAUUAGAUACCCUGGUAGUCCACGCCGUAAGCGAUGGUCACUAGCUGUUCGAUGUACAUUGGUACGUUGAGUGGCUAAGCGAAAGUGAUAAGUGACCCACCUAGGGAGUACGCUCGCAAGAGUGAAACUCAAAGGAAUUGACGGGGGCCCGCACAAGCGGCGGAGCAUGUGGUUUAAUUCGAUGAUACGCGAGGAACCUUACCAGGACUUAAAUGUAAGUUGCAUGAUUCAGAAAUGAAUCUUUCUUCGGACUACUUACAAGGUGCUGCAUGGUUGUCGUCAGCUCGUGCCGUGAGGUGUCAGGUUAAGUCCUAUAACGAGCGCAACCCCUAUCGUUAGUUGCCAUCAAGUAAAGUUGGGAACUCUAGCGAAACUGCCGGUGCAAACCGAGAGGAAGGUGGGGAUGACGUCAAAUCAUCACGGCCCUUACGUUCUGGGCUACACACGUGCUACAAUGGUCGGUACAGAAAGCAGCCACUAUGCAAAUAGGAGCUAAUCUUUAAAACCGAUCUCAGUUCGGAUCGCAGUCUGCAACUCGACUGCGUGAAGCUGGAAUCGCUAGUAAUCGGAUAUCAGCCAUGAUCCGGUGAAUACGUUCCCGGGCCUUGUACACACCGCCCGUCAAGCCAUGGAAGCUGGGGGUACCUAAAGUCGGUGACCGAAAGGAGCUGCCUAGGGUAAAACUAGUGACUGGGGCUAAGUCGUAACAAGGUAGCCGUACCGGAAGGUGCGGCUGGAAUACCUCCUUUCU
rnacentral:rRNA from 1 species